CUUGCUUUUUGCCUUUAGCCUUUCUAUGAGUCAGGAGACAGCAGGCUGCUUGCAAGUAUAGGCUGGGGCUGGUUUUUUCCCAUUUAUUUAUUUAUUUUCCUAGGAAGAAUGAAGAGCAAAUAAUGAGGAGGAAGAAUAGAUGAUGAACCCAAAGAUGAGCACGAGUUCCUGGGCUGGUUCUGACCCAUCUAAGGGGUCCUGACUCUUAGGAUCCUUUGGGGUUGGAGCUCACACAUCCUGCUGCUUGUUGAUGGAGGAACGAUGACCCCAUGUGAGUACUGCAGUGCCAUACAGCCCUAUUUGGGUGCAUGGAGAGGCCAAUUCGGCUGCAGCAGCAGUGAGAAAGCUGCAAGGUGCUGAGCUCUCUCCUGCCCUGGAGCAGCCCAGGGGAUGUGGGGGCAGUCAGUGGCUGUUUUGGGGCUGUGCUGGGUGUGUUUUGGGGCUGUGCUGGCUACAAGCCUCGCUUCUAUCUGCAGGCCAGCAGGCAGCAUGUGAUGCUGUGAUGCUCACCAGCUCCAGCCAAGGGGAAAAGCCCCUUCAGCACAGGAGCUGCUGGCAGGGUGCCUGGCUGCACCGUGCCUGGCACCAGCAGUUCGGUGCCCCUCAGUGCAAAGCCUCCAUCUGCUCCCCAUCCUUCCCCCCCACCAUGGGAUGGGACUGAAGGUGGCACAGCCCCUGAGCGCUGUGCCUGCCCAGUCCCAAAACGCAAUGUCACCAGGGCUCUGGGACAACCCUGCCGUGUUUAAAUCCUCUUCCUAGGGGCAGCCGGGGCUGCAGACCCCUCAGGACGGCUACAGAGGCAGCAGCGUAUCGCACCUUCAGCCCUCGGGGCUGCGAGCAGUCGGGUUGGAGCUGGAGCUGGCGAGCUCUCAGCACCCUCUGCCGGCUCUGCUGCCCGGCCCCGGCCCCUCCUGCUUGGGAUGGAGCCUCUGUGAGCUCUAAGCUGCUGCUCUGCUUUGCUCUGCUCCCAUUCUACAGCCCUGAGCCCAAUAGGGGCCGUCACCCUCUGCCCUCGCACUGAGUGCUUUGCGCCCUGGGUUGAGCUGAUGACUGCAGUGCUUGUGCUGAGGGUACGGGAAGGGGCCCAGCAGCCUCUCGAUGUGGCUUUUCUCUGCUGUGAAUGAUCCCAAAUAGCAUCUCUGUGCUGUAAGGCAGCCCUGGGCUGACAGCAGUCUGUGCUGAUGUACACGUAUGGGGUAUUCAUGGGGCGGAAAAAGGCUGCUGCUCAAACAAGCAAACAUUGACUGUCUGGUUUCCCAGCGCUGCCCCCAGCAGCAGCUUUCACAUACCCUGCAGACAUUCCUGCUGCUGGGCUCCCAUCACCGGGCAGGGAGGAACCCCCACACUGCCUGCAGCAGCCCCUCUGACCCAGGAAAGCAAAGGGAAACCAGUUGACGUCGGGAUUCUUUUAAUGCAACAGCUCUUAAAAUGCAACCUUCAAAUGAUUUUUAUAAUGGUCAACAAUGAGAAACAUCUGAGCUUUUCUACCUAUGCACCCCAAACCCUUUGGGUGGAGGACUCCCUUGGGCAAAAAGGGUGAGGACAGUGUUCACAUGGAGGCCCCCAACAAAUGGCAGCACAACCUGGACCUUCCUCUCUCACACUUUACACUCAGGCACAAACCUACAAAGGCAUCCAGCCCAUCAGCUCCCCUCUUGUAGCACUUCAGACAACAGCUUCAGGCUCCUGGUUCUCUCUGCAGGUUUGUGCCUUCAUGCUACGUAAAGCGAUUUGAGAAUGAAUAUCUGACUGUUUUCUGCCUUGAUAGGAUGGUGGUGGAGGAAGCUGAUUUCCCAUCACCUUGCUUUGUAUGAUAUAAUGCUACUUUAUGCCUUUGUUCUGCAGAGCAGCAGGUGUUACAGGCUGCCACAGCUCGCCAAUUCAAGUAACGUGGGAAAUUCUGCUCCAGCCUAAACAUCUGUGUAAGAAUAUCCCCCCACCGCCCCCUCCGCAUCGUGCAGUGUUUAUAUGCUGUAACAGGAGAGCAGGCAAUACUUGCUGAAACACAUUUAAUACCUUCCAGUUGUUAGUCUCAGUUUCUGGUUCUGUGCAGUCAGCACACAGCCCUCGGGCUGCGCGUGCUGCAGAAUAGCAAUGCUGUUAGAGCUGUGAGUGCCUUUCUCCCAUCUAAAAUGCUCAGUGGUUUUCUUGUACCAUUUACUGGCUCUGCCCUUCCAAGAGGGGAAUGGUGAGACUACACACAACGUCCUGUUGGAGGAAGGUGAUGCUGUGUCUGCUUUCAUCAAUGCUGUGAAGAGAAACAGCAGAAAGAACCACGAGGGUCUCCUGAAUCUCAGUGCUGUGUGAUGCUUUCCUCCCCUUCGUGUCAAGCCUGUAUUUUACUACUACCAACUACAGAAAGCUACUUUGGUCUACAGAAAUGCUAUGCACUUAUCUCCAAGUGAAUUCUAACCAACCCUUCUUAAGGACAGCAGUUAACAGUAAGUCAGUGGGUUCUUUUGCCUUAGUCUCCAAUACGAGUUAUAAAACCUGGAUUCAGGUUUGGACAGACUGGAGCUCUUUUAGAGUCUGAGCAGCAGCUCUUGCACAACCAAAGGUCACAAUUAGAAACUGAGUGUAGAAAGAGUUCCCAGGGGG